GACGAACGCUGGCGGCGUGCCUAAUACAUGCAAGUAGAACGCUGAAGCGAGGAGCUUGCUCUUCUUGGAUGAGUUGCGAACGGGUGAGUAACGCGUAGGUAACCUGCCUUGUAGCGGGGGAUAACUAUUGGAAACGAUAGCUAAUACCGCAUAACAAUGGAUGACACAUGUCAUUUAUUUGAAAGGGGCAAUUGCUCCACUACAAGAUGGACCUGCGUUGUAUUAGCUAGUAGGUGAGGUAAUGGCUCACCUAGGCGACGAUACAUAGCCGACCUGAGAGGGUGAUCGGCCACACUGGGACUGAGACACGGCCCAGACUCCUACGGGAGGCAGCAGUAGGGAAUCUUCGGCAAUGGGGGCAACCCUGACCGAGCAACGCCGCGUGAGUGAAGAAGGUUUUCGGAUCGUAAAGCUCUGUUGUAAGUCAAGAACGGGUGUGAGAGUGGAAAGUUCACACUGUGACGGUAGCUUACCAGAAAGGGACGGAUAACUACGU
rnacentral:rRNA from 1 species